GGAUUGUGGCUCGGCGGUAGAGUGCUCCCUUAACAUGGGCGGGACCUGGGUUCAAUUCUCAGCACCA
rnacentral:tRNA from 1 species